rnacentral:misc_RNA from 1 species
CGCACAUUGCGCCCCUUGGUAUUCCGAGGGGCAUGCCUGUUCGAGCGUCAUUUCACCAAUCAAGCAACGCUUGGUCUUGGGCGCCAGGCCCGCCCCCAUGGGCGGGCCCGUCCGAAACGCAUCGGCGAGCGGACCGACCCCCGGCGUGUUGAGAAUCCACAGGUUCGAGACGUCGGGAGCACCGGCCCCCUCCGCCGCAAAACCAACCCCCAAAAGGUUGACCUCGGAUCAGGUAGGGAUACCCGCUGAACUUAA